rnacentral:rRNA from 1 species
AUUGAACGCUGGCGGAAUGCUUUACACAUGCAAGUCGAACGGCAGCACGGGGCAACCUGGUGGCGAGGUGGCGAACGGGUGAGUAAUACAUCGGAACGUGCCCAAUCGUGGGGGAUAACGUAGCGAAAGUUACGCUAAUACCGCAUACGAUCUACGGAUGAAAGCGGGGGAUCGCAAGACCUCGCGCGAAUGGAGCGGCCGAUGUCAGAUUAGGUAGUUGGUGGGGUAAAGGCUCACCAAGCCGACGAUCUGUAGCUGGUCUGAGAGGACGACCAGCCACACUGGGACUGAGACACGGCCCAGACUCCUACGGGAGGCAGCAGUGGGGAAUUUUGGACAAUGGGGCGCAAGCCUGAUCCAGCCAUUCCGCGUGCAGGAUGAAGGCCUUCGGGUUGUAAACUGCUUUUGUACGGAACGAAACGGUUCUCUCUAAUACAGGGGGCUAAUGACGGUACCGUAAGAAUAAGCACCGGCUAACUACGUG